UUUAGAAUAAACAGUCUUUUGAUGAAUCUACAAAUUCAAACAAAUUGAAUGUAGCUGUGUUAGCUAGAUCCACUGCUUUUGCUAGGUCAGUGGGGUAAUAAUUGGAAAUAGCCAAGGUGUAUUUUUCUUUAAGUAUAUCAGUCAAGAUUGUGUUCACCAUUCUCAAGGAAACCUCACCCAAGGCACUUACAAUAGAUUGUUUCCUGCAAAGCUACCUGGGCUGGAGAGGUCUGAAUUUGAUGCCACUGUUUAUUGUUGAUAGUCCAUCAUUUUUUUAUUUUGCACAAUGUAUUCCACUACCAAAGUUGUUGGUGCAUUUGGAAAGAAAUAUUUUACAUUUAACCCUCAUGUAAUGAUAAUCCUUUUUGUUCCCUUCACAACCUCCUCCCAAACCACUUUUUCAUUGCAAAUUACUUGCUUAAAACUUUUUUUAAAUUGUCAGAACUGAAGAUAGUUAGUCAACAUAGAUAACCACAGCUGCAAAAGCAUGGACUUAUUGGGGAUAGUCAGCAUGGCUUUGUGCAGGAAGGACAUAUCUUACGAACUAGAUUGAGUUUUUUUGACGAGGUGAUGAAGAUGAUAGGGAUGUUGUCUACAUGGACUUUAGUAAAACAUUUGACAAGUUUUCUUGUGGUAUGAUGAACCAGCAAAUUAAGGAAGAUGGGAUCCACAGAGACUUAGUAGAUUGGAUUCAAAAUGGGUUUGGGCAUUGAAGAGGAUAUUGGGAAAUUAGAUGCAGCUGUAUAAAAUGUUGUCUGGCCACAUAUGGAGUACUGGUUGUAGUUGGCAUGUUACAGAAAGAAUACAACAGCUCUGGAAAGGGAUGCAAAAGGGUUCACUUGGAUGUUAGGAAGGAACUGCAGAUUUUGUGUCUAUCACCAGGAUGUUACCUGGAUUAGAGAGUAUUAGUUAUUAGGAAAGAUUCAACAAAUUUGAAUGGCUUAUUCUCUAGCACUGGAGGCUGAGGGGUGAACUGAUAUAAAUAUUAAAAAUUAUGACAGGCAUAAAUAGCGUAGAGUCAGUCUUUUCCACAGUGUAGAAAUGUCAAAGGCUAGAGGAAAUUGGUUAAGGUGAGAGAGGAGAAUUGCAAAACAAGUUAUUUUUAAAGAGUGGUUGGUGCCUAGAAUGCAGUGCCCGGGGGAGGUGCUGAAAGAAGAUAUAGUAAUAUUUACGAAGUAUUUUGGCAAACAUGUGAACAUGCAGGGACAGGGUGGAUAUGUGCCAUGUGCAGGUUGAAAGGACUAGUUAAAAUAUGCAUUAUGGUCAGCACAGACGUUAUGCAUCCAAGUGCCUGUCGUUUAAAGAAACAGCCCCAUUUCAUACAGUUUAACAAUUAGUGUACCCUGCAUUUGUGCGUUGCAUUGCAAAAAUGCAAGAUUUUAUUUGGCUCUUUUCUCUAGUUGACCCACUAGAUCACAAGAAGGACCCAACUAUCUCUUUCACUCACUAUCCAGUAACUUUUCAAUGUCCAUAGAUGUCAGAUUUCGCACUCAAGAUCCAAUCGCAGUGCAACUACCACUGCCCGUAUAUUUUCAUCCCAUUUUAGGAUUCAUCUGUUCA